rnacentral:snRNA from 1 species
AGUCACGCUUAACUGCGGAG